AUGCAAGUCGAGCGGGCGUAGCAAUACGUCAGCGGCAGACGGGUGAGUAACGCGUGGGAACAUACCUUUUGGUUCGGAACAWCACAGGGAAACUUGUGCUAAUACCGGAUAAGCCCUURCGGGGAAAGAUUUAUCGCCGAAAGAUUGGCCCGCGUCUGAUUAGYUAGUUGGURAGGUAAUGGCUCACCAAGGCGACGAUCAGUAGCUGGUCUGAGAGGAUGAUCAGCCACAUUGGGACUGAGACACGGCCCAAACUCCUACGGGAGGCAGCAGUGGGGAAUAUUGGACAAUGGGCGCAAGCCUGAUCCAGCCAUGCCGCGUGAGUGAUGAAGGCCCUAGGGUUGUAAAGCUCUUUUGUKCGGGAAGAUAAUGACGGUACCGCAAGAAUAAGCCCCGGCUA
rnacentral:rRNA from 1 species